rnacentral:rRNA from 1 species
CACUCCUACGGGAGGCAGCAGUGGGGAAUAUUGGACAAUGGGCGCAAGCCUGAUCCAGCCAUGCCGCGUGAGUGAUGAAGGCCCUAGGGUUGUAAAGCUCUUUCACCGGUGAAGAUAAUGACGGUAACCGGAGAAGAAGCCCCGGCUAACUUCGUGCCAGCAGCCGCGGUAAUACGAAGGGGGCUAGCGUUGUUCGGAUUUACUGGGCGUAAAGCGCACGUAGGCGGACUAUUAAGUCAGGGGUGAAAUCCCGGGGCUCAACCCCGGAACUGCCUUUGAUACUGGUAGUCUUGAGUUCGAGAGAGGUGAGUGGAAUUCCGAGUGUAGAGGUGAAAUUCGUAGAUAUUCGGAGGAACACCAGUGGCGAAGGCGGCUCACUGGCUCGAUACUGACGCUGAGGUGCGAAAGCGUGGGGAGCAAACAGGAUUAGAAACCCGGGUAGUCCCAUGAU